GGGGCCGUAGUUCAAUCGGUUAGAGCACCGCCCUGUCACGGCGGAAGUUGCGGGUUCGAGUCCCGUCGACCCCG
rnacentral:tRNA from 1 species